rnacentral:rRNA from 1 species
UAAGGAAUAUUGGUCAAUGGACGCAAGUCUGAACCAGCCAUGCCGCGUGAAGGAUGAAGGUCCUCUGGAUUGUAAACUUCUUUUAUCUGGGACGAAAACGGGAUUUUUAUCUCAAUUGACGGUACCAGAGGAAUAAGCACCGGCUAACUCCGUGCCAGCAGCCGCGGUAAUACGGAGGGUGCGAGCGUUAUCCGGAUUUACUGGGUUUAAAGGGUGCGUAGGUGGGCUUAUAAGUCAGUGGUGAAAUCUCCGAGCUUAACUUGGAAACUGCCGUUGAUACUAUAGGUCUUGGAUUAUCUGGAGGUAAGCGGAAUAUGUCAUGUAGCGGUGAAAUGCUUAGAUAUGACAUAGAACACCAAUUGCGAAGGCAGCUUACUACAUAUAAAUUGACGCUGAGGCACGAAAGCGUGGGGAUCAAACA